rnacentral:rRNA from 1 species
GAUGAACGCUGGCGGCACGCUUAACACAUGCAAGUCGAACGAAGUCCAUGGAGCUUGCUCCGGAAGACUGAGUGGCGAACGGGUGCGUAACACGUGAGAAAUCUGCCCCGGACUUUGGGAUAACAGUUGGAAACGACUGCUAAUACCGAAUACCGCCGUCACCUCGCAUGGGGAGACGACGAAAGGUCCGCCGGUCCGGGAGGAUCUCACGGCCUAUCAGCUUGUUGGAGAGGUAACGGCUCACCAAGGCAUCGACGGGUAGCUGGUCUGAGAGGAUGAUCAGCCACACUGGAACUGAGACACGGUCCAG